rnacentral:rRNA from 1 species
UGGGGAAUAGUGGACAAUGGAGGAAACUCUGAUCCAGCAAUUCUGUGUGUGUGAAGAAGGUUUUAGGACUGUAAAACACUUUUAGUAGGGAAGAAAAAAAUGACGGUACCUACAGAAGAAGCAACGGCUAAAUACGUGCCAGCAGCCGCGGUAAUACGUAUGUUGCGAGCGUUAUCCGGAAUUAUUGGGCUUAAAGGGCAUCUAGGCGGUAAGACAAGUUGAAGGUGAAAACCUGUGGCUCAACCAUAGGCUUGCCUACAAAACUGUUGAACUAGAGUACUGGAAAGGUGGGUGGAACUACACGAGUAGAGGUGAAAUUCGUAGAUAUGUGUAGGAAUGCCGAUGAUGAAGAUAACUCACUGGACAGAAACUGACGCUGAAGUGCGAAAGCUAGGGGAGCAAACAGG